rnacentral:other from 2 species
UGGGUGCUACGGGGUGCGUGAGGCAACAUAUCCCACUGACCGAUACAAAUCUUGCGACGGGAGCUGUCCCUGCUGAGACCGUGGUCUUGGACAUAUGGCGCCCACCUUAUUGAAAGGGUCAUCGCGGAUUUUUCGCCAAAACGGCCACCGUGGUUCCCAC